AGAACUUAAGAGUUUUGA
rnacentral:snRNA from 1 species